GAUGAACGCUGGCGGUAUGCUUAACACAUGCAAGUCGAACGGUACCUUCGGGUAUAGUGGCGGACGGGUGAGUAACGCGUGAGAAUCUAUCUUCAGGUCGGGGACAACAGUUAGAAAUGACUGCUAAUACCGGAUGUGCCGAAAGGUAAAAGAUUUAUUACCUGAAAAAGAGCUCGCGUCAGAUUAGCUAGUAGGUGGUGUAAGAGACUACCUAGGCUUCGAUCUGUAGCUGGUCUGAGAGGACGAUCAGCCACACUGGAACUGAGACACGGUCCAGACUCCUACGGGAAGCAGCAGUGGGGAAUUUUCCGCAAUGGGCGAAAGCCUGACGGAGCAAUACCGCGUGAGGGACGAAGGCUCUUGGGUCGUAAACCUCUUUUCUCAAGGAAGAUUCAGACGGUACUUGAGGAAUAAGCAUCGGCUAACUCUGUG
rnacentral:rRNA from 1 species